GAAAUGAAAUGUAAAAACACGAUCCGGUUGGUAGUCCGGAUGCACGCUUGGCGUGUCAGUGACCUUCCCCUCCUCGGGAUGUCCAUCAUUUCAGUAAACAAA
rfam:Bacillus marisflavi strain JCM 11544 scaffold2, whole genome shotgun sequence.